GAACUUGCUCUUGGGCUUGAGGUAAAAAGUGUUACGCUGUUGAUUUCCGUGCAUGUAAAAGAUAUCAUGGCCGAAGGGAGUUUACAGUGACCACAAAGUGAAACAGCCUAGGCAGCGAUUGUGGGCUGCAUCAUCUUGUGUGGUUUUGAAUGCUCACCACCUCAAGCCUAGGAAGCGAAGGUUCGUUGUUGUGGAAAGGCAACCUUUGAUUAAUAUUAGCAGGUCCGGAAGAGAGAGGUAACGUGUCUGGUCUGCAAUAAAGGCAAUGAUUACAAGGUGGGAUUCUAUGCUCUGCAGCUAAUCACUUUGAUCGUUGGAUGAGGUAGAAGAACAACCUUGGACCCUUUUUGUGGAUAAGCAUUGAAGCCAACAAAGAACAGAUGGUACGGCAAGUUGCCAUGGGCUGUAGAUUCAUUGUCAUGUAGAUCUGCUUGUUUUGAUGAUGUUGUCAUGGACUCGGAUGGAUUAAACUUGCUAUUGUGGACUUCAAUGGCUCAUUAGUCACCAGCAAUCACAUCGGACUAAAUUAGAACCUGUGAGAUCUUCUAAGGGAAGGACUGAUCCUCUUUGUGUCAGAAAACCGAAAAAACGCUGCUUAAAUCGGAUAAGAUCUAAAUCAUAACAUGUUGGUGUGUAAUCUACAAAAUGAUCAGUAUAGAUAGAGGAAAGGAAGCAGCACAGCGAUAACUAAGAAACAUAGAGGUGGAGCCAGUCAUAAUAAACAGUCCUUUUUCCUCUACGAUUGUCUCUCCAACUUGUUCUUCUGUUGCGGAAAUCCUUUCGGUUCAAGAAGAUGAGGCCUGUCAAUCGUAAGCAGUGUAAUGACCUUGGAAUUUGCUCUCUCUCUCUCUAUUGAUCUAUCUAUCUGUGUGCGUGUGUGUAUGUGUGUCAACUUGGAAGGGGUAGAAGAGCAAAGACACUGCUUGAUUCAGAAGCAAAGGGUGACAGAAUCUGAAAACAAACAGCAAAGGGUUUCACAGUGCAACCUUCGCUUUCAAGAACAU
rnacentral:lncRNA from 1 species